UACGGAGGGGGCUAGCGUUGUUCGGAAUUACUGGGCGUAAAGCGCGCGUAGGCGGAUCUGCAAGUCGGGGGUGAAAUCCCGAGGCUCAACCUCGGAACUGCCUUCGAUACUGCUGGUCUCGAGUCCGGGAGAGGUGAGUGGAAUUCCUAGUGUAGAGGUGAAAUUCGUAGAUAUUAGGAAGAACACCAGUGGCGAAGGCGGCUCACUGGCCCGGUACUGACGCUGAGGCGCGAAAGCGUGGGGAGCAAACAGG
rnacentral:rRNA from 1 species